rnacentral:lncRNA from 1 species
AUAGUACUGGAGCUGGUCUCCAACACUGACUGGGAUUUGCUUUUGGCUUGGAACGACCCUGCAGGCCGGGGGUGCAUUGGUCAUCGUGUGGGAUUCUACCUACUGAGCUCAUAUUUUUAUACCAUUAUCCCUCUUACCUGCUGCUGGCAGCGUGUUUAACCAGGGCAGGACUUCCUUAAAGUUUUAAACCAGAGGAACCGGAUUCACUCUGAGGACUCAGAGGUCAUCCCACUGACCAACUGUGAGGCCAUGUACCAGGCAGCUGUCUCCAAGCGAGCAGACAACACCAUCCCCAGCGGGGUCAUGGAGGAGUCGGAGGUCUGUUCCCUGCCUGGGGGACUUGCCAGUGUAAGGAGACAAUUUGAAGCCCAGGAAAUUGCAACAUCACACAAUGUUACCCAGUUUCAUUUUCAACACAGAACUGUACAGGUAUACAUAUUAAGCUGUACAUGCAUCAGGCGGAUAAUAUCAGCAUGAAAGAGAAUGA